rnacentral:lncRNA from 1 species
GAGGAGCCUAGCCGAGGGAAACGUCGUCCGGGCCAUGGGUCGCUGCCGAAGUUUGCUUUGGACGGCAUUAAAAACGAUGCCCUAGAGGUUAGUGUAACGAAAUUGGAAUUGAAUCACCUGAUUGAUGUAUGAUGCAGAGUUGGUCUUUGCAUUAUUGUCGUUUUGUACGAGAUGUGUCACAGGGAUCUUGUAUGUUUUCUUCUGAUCCCCUUGCCGUUCUGCUGUAGGGCGCCGCACCAGAAGAGCGGUCGCCGCUCGACGCUGAUGGGUACUGCGGGCGCGAGCACCGCGCUUGAGAGUGGCCUCGCCGGGGCGUCCAUGGUCUGACAUUGACACGCGCCCGAGGACUCUGUUGCCAGAGAGCCACGCGUCGGCUGUGUCUCUGCCUCCAGAUGCGAGAGAGCCGCCUCACCGCUGUUUCCCCUUCGCUUUCUUCUCUGCGGCCAAAUCACUCUCAGUUACGAGCGUGCUGAUAACGUGUUAAAGUAAACUGAUUGAGAAUGAAUCUCUGAAUUUCAUUGAUGAUGAUUGGGGUAUAUAUACCCUCUCAACAGUCGCCAAUUAAGGCGGUAAUUACAAAGAGACAUGUCCGUACGGGCACAUGCGUCCGCACGGAAGAGGAGAGGCGGUGGACACACACAACCGUCUA